AUUGGACGCUGGCGGCAUGCCUAACACAUGCAAGUCGAGCGGAAGAAGGGAGCUUGCUCCUGGAUUCAGCGGCGGACGGGUGAGUAAUGCCUAGGAAUCUGCCUGGUAGUGGGGGAUAACGUCCGGAAACGGGCGCUAAUACCGCAUACGUCCUGAGGUAGAAAGUGGGGGGUCUUCGGACCUCACGCUAUCAUAUUAGCCUAGGUCGGAUUAGCUAGUUGGUGGGGUAAAUGCCUUGGCAGGCUACGAUCCGUAACUGGUCUGAGAGGAUGAUCAGUCAGCCUGUAACAGAGAAACGGCACACACUCCUACGGGAGGAAGCGGUGGGGAAUCUUGGAGGAUGGGCGAAAGGGUGAUCUAGCAAUGCCGGGGGUGUGAAGAAGCUGUUAGGAUUGUAAAGUAAUUUAAGUUGGGAGGAAGGAAAGUACGUUAAUCCCUUGUUGUUUUGACGUUACCAACAGAAUAAGCACCGGCUAACUCCGUG
rnacentral:rRNA from 1 species